rnacentral:rRNA from 1 species
AGCGAACGCUGGCGGCAGGCCUAACACAUGCAAGUCGAACGGAUCCUUCGGGAUUAGUGGCGGACGGGUGAGUAACACGUGGGAACGUGCCCUUUGGUUCGGAACAACUCAGGGAAACUUGAGCUAAUACCGGAUGUGCCCUUCGGGGGUAAGAUUUAUCGCCAUUGGAGCGGCCCGCGUCGGAUUAGCUAGUUGGUGAGGUAAAGGCUCACCAAGGCGACGAUCAGUAGCUGGUCUGAGAGGAUGAUCAGCCACAUUGGGACUGAGACUCGGCCCAAACUCCUACGGGAGGCAGCAGUGGGGAAUCUUGCGCAAUGGGCGAAAGCCUGACGCAGCCAUGCCGCGUGAAUGAUGAAGGUCUUAGGAUUGUAAAAUUCUUUCACCGGGGACGAUAAUGACGGUACCCGGAGAAGAAGCCCCGGCUAACUUCGUGCCAGCCGCCGCGGUAACAC